GUCCAAAUGAGAAUAAUGUUCGCAUAUUUAGCCUUUCCUUGUUUUCCCUUCUACGGUGGCCUGUGCACACACCCAGGGCACACACAUUCAUCACCACUUUCUUUGGAAACAUUGUGAUGAGUUCAGAUAUAAUUUGUAUGCCAUUAGCAUGCGGAUGACAGUACUAGAGAGCCAACAGGACAUAGAUAAACAAUAUUUAGGCAGCAUUUGCAUUGGAAAUAUCAACACAAACCAGUGGCUUUCUUGUAAUUUUAGAUAGAGUUUCCGAAUAGAAAUUACUAUGAUCUGCAACUUCCGUUCCUCUGAGCUGUCAGACUUUUUUGUUUUGCAGAAUGUAUCCGUUCUGCGUUAGAAUGAGACUAGGCUAUACCUCAAUUUCUCCAAGAUUAUCAUAUACAUUAAAGAAGCACACAAAAAGCC